AUGGCCAUACCACCCUGAACACACCCAAUCUUGUCUGAUCUCUGAAGAUAAGCUAAGCUAAGCUGGGUCGGGCCUAGUUAGUACUUGUAUAGAAGAUCCUAAGUCUUUGCUUAUU
ensembl:rRNA 5S_rRNA 5S ribosomal RNA